rnacentral:misc_RNA from 1 species
AUCAACCCUCAGGCUCCGGCUUGGUAUUGGACGGUUGGCCUGUAAAGGCCCCUCCUAAAGACAAUGAUGGCGUCCCUGGGACCCUCGGUACACUGAGUCCUUACCGACACGUACCGCAGUUUAGGCCCCGGGUGAGCGAUCACCGUUAAAUCAUUUUUCAGGUUGACCUCGGAUCAGGUAGGGAUACCCGCUGAACUUAA